rnacentral:rRNA from 1 species
AGUGAACGCUGGCGGUAGGCCUAACACAUGCAAGUCGAACGGCAGCACAGUAAGAGCUUGCUCUUACGGGUGGCGAGUGGCGGACGGGUGAGGAAUACAUCGGAAUCUACUUUUUCGUGGGGGAUAACGUAGGGAAACUUACGCUAAUACCGCAUACGACCUACGGGUGAAAGCAGUGGAUCUUCGGACCUUGCGCGAUUGAAUGAGCCGAUGUCGGAUUAGCUAGUUGGCGGGGUAAAGGCCCACCAAGGCGACGAUCCGUAGCUGGUCUGAGAGGAUGAUCAGCCACACUGGAACUGAGACACGGUCCAGACUCCUACGGGAGGCAGCAGUGGGGAAUAUUGGACAAAGGGCGCAAGCCUGAUCCAGCCAUACCGCGUGAGUGAAGAAGGCCUUCGGGUUGUAAAGCCCUUUUGUUGGGAAAGAAAAGCAGCAGGUUAAUACCCCGCUGUUCUGACGGUACCCAAAGAAUAAGCACCGGCUAACUUCGUG